UACACAUUAGUGGACUUCUGUUACUCCCAUCUUCCAUCUCCAUGAGUCAGGUGGGUGGAGCUGGACCCCUCAUCCUCUGGUACAUGAGCAGAAGAUCCUAGGAGUCCCCCACAAGAUCACUGAGCUGCUGACUGGAGAGGUUCCUGUAAGGUGUCAGGAUGUCCAUGGCGAAGUGGGAGUAUAUAGAUGGACACAAGGAUCGGUAUGAGGACGCCAUGAUGGAGGACCACCGACCCCUCACAUUAACGGAUGGAUCCAGGAGGAGAAAUCCCCCCGAGAGAUGUCCCCGUCCUCUGUAUUCCC